AAUAUUGGACAAUGGGGGCAACCCUGAUCCAGCCAUGCCGCGUGUGUGAAGAAGGUCUUCGGAUUGUAAAGCACUUUAAGUUGGGAGGAAGGGCUUUAGGUUAAUACCCUGCAUUUUUGACGUUACCAACAUACUAAGCACCCGCUCACUCUGUUUCACCAGCCGCGGUAAUACAGAGGGGGCAAGUGUUAAUCGGAAUUACUGGGCGGAAAGCGCGCGUAGGUGGUUCAGUAAGAUGGGUGUGAAAUCCCCGGGCUUAACCUGGGAACUGCUUUCAUAACUGCUGAGCUAGAGUACGGUAGAGGGUAGUGGAAUUUCCUGUGUAGCGGUGAAAUGCGUAGAUAUAGGAAGGAACACCAGUGGCGAAGGCGACUACCUGGACUGAUACUGACACUGAGGUGCGAAAGCGUGGGGAGCAAAC
rnacentral:rRNA from 1 species